rnacentral:rRNA from 1 species
UACGUAGGGGGCUAGCGUUGUCCGGAUUUAUUGGGCGUAAAGAGCGUGUAGGCGGCCAGGUAGGUCUGGUGUGAAAACUCGAGGCUUAACCUCGAGAUGUCGGCGGAAACCAUCUGGCUAGAGUCCGGAAGAGGAGAGUGGAAUUCCUGGUGUAGCGGUGAAAUGCGCAGAUAUCAGGAAGAACACCCGUGGCGAAGGCGGCUCUCUGGGACGGUACUGACGCUGAGACGCGAAAGCGUGGGGAGCGAACAGG